rnacentral:rRNA from 1 species
GACGAACGCUGGCGGCGUGCCUAAUACAUGCAAGUAGAACGCUGAAGAGAGGAGCUUGCUCUUCUUGGAUGAGUUGCGAACGGGUGAGUAACGCGUAGGUAACCUGCCUUGUAGCGGGGGAUAAAUAUUGGAAACGAAAGCUAAUACCGCAUAACAAUGGAUGAAACAUGUAAUUUAUUUGAAAGGGGAAAUUGCUCCACUACAAGAUGGAACUGCGUUGUAUUAGCUAGUAGGUGAGGUAAUGGCUCACCUAGGCGACGAUACAUAGCCGACCUGAGAGGGUGAUCGGCCACACUGGGACUGAGACACGGCCCAGACUCCUACGGGAGGCAGCAGUAGGGAAUCUUCCGCAAUGGGCGAAAGCCUGACGGAGCAACGCCGCGUGAGUGAUGAAGGUCUUCGGAUCGUAAAACUCUGUUAUUAGGGAAGAACAUAUGUGUAAGUAACUGUGCACAUCUUGACGGUACCUAAUCAGAAAGCCACGGCUAACUACGUG